rnacentral:rRNA from 1 species
AACGAACGCUGGCGGCAGGCUUAACACAUGCAAGUCGAGCGCCCCGCAAGGGGAACGGCAGACGGGUGAGUAACACGUGGGAACCUUCCUAGGGGUACGGAACAACUCAGGGAAACUUGAGCUAAUACCGUAUACGUCCGUGAGGAGAAAGAUUUAUCGCCCUUAGACGGGCCCGCGUCGGAUUAGGUAGUUGGUGGGGUAACGGCCUACCAAGCCUACGAUCCGUAGCUGAUCUUAGAGGAUGAUCAGCCACACUGGGACUGAGACACGGCCCAGACUCCUACGGGAGGCAGCAGUGGGGAAUCUUGGACAAUGGGCGCAAGCCUGAUCCAGCCAUGCCGCGUGAGUGAAGAAGGCCUUAGGGUUGUAAAGCUCUUUUACCAGGGACGAUAAUGACGGUACCUGGAGAAUAAGCCCCGGCAAACUUCGUGCCAGCAGCCGCAGUAACAC